UACGUAGGGGGCAAGCGUUGUCCGGAAUCAUUGGGCGUAAAGCGCGUGUAGGCGGCCCGAUAAGUCCGCUGUGAAAGUCCAGGGCUCAACCCUGGGAUGCCGGUGGAUACUGUCGGGCUGGAGUCCGGAAGAGGCGAGUGGAAUUCCUGGUGUAGCGGUGAAAUGCGCAGAUAUCAGGAGGAACACCAAUGGCGAAGGCAGCUCGCUGGGACGUGACUGACGCUGAGACGCGAAAGCGUGGGGAGCAAACAGG
rnacentral:rRNA from 1 species